rnacentral:rRNA from 1 species
UACGUAGGGGGCAAGCGUUGUCCGGAAUCAUUGGGCGUAAAGAGCGUGUAGGCGGCCAAGUAAGUCCGGUGUGAAAACUCGAGGCUUAACCUCGAGAUGUCAUCGGAAACUAUUUGGCUAGAGUCCGGAAGAGGAGAGUGGAAUUCCUGGUGUAGCGGUGAAAUGCGCAGAUAUCAGGAGGAACACCUGCGGUGUAGACGGCUUACUGGACCAUAACUGACGCUGAGGCACGAAAGCGUUGGUAGCAAACAGG